rnacentral:rRNA from 1 species
UACGUAGGGUGCAAGCGUUGUCCGGAAUUACUGGGCGUAAAGGGCUCGUAGGUGGCCAACUAAGUCAGACGUGAAAUCCCUCGGCUUAACCGGGGAACUGCGUCUGAUACUGGAUGGCUUGAGUUUGGGAGAGGGAUGCGGAAUUCCAGGUGUAGCGGUGAAAUGCGUAGAUAUCUGGAGGAACACCGGGGGCGAAGGCGGCAUCCUGGGCCAACACUGACGCUGAGUGAGCGAAAGCCAGGGGAGCAAACGGG